rnacentral:rRNA from 1 species
AUAGAAAUUUAAAUACUUUUUAAAGUAUCAAUUGGAGGGCAAGUCUGGUGCCAGCAGCCGCGGUAAUUCCAGCUCCAAUAGCGUAUAUUAAAAUUGUUGCAGUUAAAAAGCUCGUAGUUGAAUUUUUGCUAAAAAUAACCGGUCUGCUUUUAUUAAUAAAGGUGGCAUCUUGGUGUGUUUUUAGCAAUAAUGUCCUUUGAAAUGUUUUUUACUUUAUUGUAAAAGACAAUUUUCAGGAUUUUUACUUUGAGAAAAUUAGAGUGUUUCAAGCAGGCUAACGUUUUGAAUACUGCAGCAUGGAAUAAUAAAAUAGGAUUUUAGUUCUACGUUAAUGGUUUUAAGAGCUAAAUUAAUGAUUGAUAGGAGCAGUUGGGGGCAUUUGUAUUUAACUGUCAGAGGU